AACAGUUCUUGUUGUUGAUUGGACCAAAAUUUUAGUGGUAUAUGCGUCCCCUACCGCCAUCAUCCUCCAAUUAAUCCUUCUUGGGUGUAACCCCCACCCCUCCACCACCUAAUCGAGUUCCCGUUUAAUUUCUCCUCACUAUUCCAAAACUCUCUUCGUUUCUAUUCUGCUUCAUUCUGCCAUCCAUACCCUUCACCGCCUCUCUCUUCUCCCUGCUUCGCACCUUGAUGCUUCAGACCGCUCCCGCUUUUAAUUUGGAACAUCGAUUGCACCAAAGAACCUCCGAUUCUACCCUCCGCUUCCUCCACCUCGCCUGCACCGCCCCUUGACACUGUUCAUCGGGUUAGUACAGGUUAAAGCUUUUUACUUUCCGAUCCUUCUAUUGACAUUGUGAUUUUUCCAGUUCUUUCUCCACCGCCACUUUCUCAAUUCAUCUUCCCCAAUCGACGAAGGUAGGGUUCGUGAACUUCCCGGCAACGUCGCUAGAUUGCCGUCGGAACUUAACGUCAACGUCGACGAACUUGUCGCAUAUCAAAGCAAAGGAGUCUCCUCGAAUGUCUUCGUUAAAAUCUGGUAUUGAAGUCAAAUCGAAUGAAAGUGGUAUCAUCACCAAUUCAGAUGAUUUGAAUGGUUCGAUUCGUCAUGAAAUAUCAACAAAGGGAAAGCGAUCCAUUAAUAUCGUUUGGCAUAAAUGUUCUGUAGAGAAAAUGGACAGACAGGAGUUGCUUCAGCAAAAAGGUUGCGUUGUUUGGAUUACUGGCCUAAGUGGUUCAGUCCUUUUCAGAUCUGAAGAUGCCUUUUAGAUCAUAUUUCAUUUUCAACUUAGUUUAUGAACACGAAUUCAGGAAAAAGCACCUUGGCUUGUGCAUUAACACGAGCUUUGCAUUCACAAGGGAAGCUGACAUACGUCCUUGAUGGUGAUAAUGUCAGGCAUGGUCUUAAUCGUGAUCUUACUUUCAAACCUGAACUAAUGACAAAAACUGCUCUAUUCACUGGAGAUUCAGAACUUCAAUAGCUCUUGCAUACUUUCAGGUUAUGACACUAUGGCUUAGGAGGUAUAAAGGUUAAGGUUCCAUGCUGUUAUAAAAAGAGCUUUAAGUUUAAUUUUAAAUAUUUUUGAUCUUAUUCGUGUAACCGGUGUUAAACAAUAUAUAUUUUUUCAUAUUAUGGUUGUAGGGAUAUACAUAAAUAUAUGUGUAUUGAAUUUUGUUUGUUUUACACUCUACUAGAAACCGUGUUCAAGGAUGUGAUUGUGUAGGGAUAUAUACAAAUAUAUGUGUAGGUAUAUGAGUAUGAUCUUGUGUAUGCAGACUGUAUAUUGCUAUAUGUUUGUUUUAAUGUCUGUCUAUUUGUGAUCGUGUA